rnacentral:rRNA from 1 species
GACGAACGCUGGCGGCGUGCCUAAUACAUGCAAGUAGAACGCUGAAGGAGGAGCUUGCUUCUCCGGAUGAGUUGCGAACGGGUGAGUAACGCGUAGGUAACCUGCCUGGUAGCGGGGGAUAACUAUUGGAAACGAUAGCUAAUACCGCAUAACAGUAGAUAUUGCAUGAUAUCUGCUUGAAAGGUGCAAUUGCAUCACUACCAGAUGGACCUGCGUUGUAUUAGCUAGUUGGUGAGGUAACGGCUCACCAAGGCGACGAUACAUAGCCGACCUGAGAGGGUGAUCGGCCACACUGGGACUGAGACACGGCCCAGACUCCUACGGGAGGCAGCAGUAGGGAAUCUUCGGCAAUGGACGGAAGUCUGACCGAGCAACGCCGCGUGAGUGAAGAAGGUUUUCGGAUCGUAAAGCUCUGUUGUAAGAGAAGAACGAGUGUGAGAGUGGAAAGUUCACACUGUGACGGUAUCUACCA